AACUAUGGUGAGGGCACUGUCUCAAUAAGUCUUUGUAUCUCUCCCAUGCAUAAUAUAAAGUCUCGAAAUCGAUCUGAACAAACAAAUAGAUAUCAUUCCACAACUU
rnacentral:snoRNA from 1 species